rnacentral:rRNA from 1 species
AGAGUUUGAUCCUGGCUCAGGACGAACGCUGGCGGCGUGCUUAACACAUGCAAGUCGAACGGUGAAAGAGGAGCUUGCUCCUCUGGAUCAGUGGCGAACGGGUGAGUAACACGUGAGUAACCUGCCCUUGACUCUGGGAUAACCUCGGGAAACCGAAGCUAAUACCGGAUACGACCCUCGGAGGCAUCUCCAGGGGGUGGAAAGAAUUUCGGUCAAGGAUGGACUCGCGGCCUAUCAGGUAGUUGGUGAGGUAACGGCUCACCAAGCCGACGACGGGUAGCCGGCCUGAGAGGGUGACCGGCCACACUGGGACUGAGACACGGCCCAGACUCCUACGGGAGGCAGCAGUGGGGAAUAUUGCACAAUGGGCGCAAGCCUGAUGCAGCAACGCCGCGUGAGGGACGACGGCCUUCGGGUUGUAAACCUCUUUUAGUAGGGAAGAAGCGAAAGUGACGGUACCUGCAGAAAAAGCACCGGCUAACUACGUGCCAGCAGCCGCGGUAAUACGUAGGGUGCAAGCGUUGUCCGGAAUUAUUGGGCGUAAAGAGCUCGUAGGCGGUUUGUCGCGUCUGCUGUGAAAACCCGAGGCUCAACCUCGGGCCUGCAGUGGGUACGGGCAAACUAGAGUGCGGUAGGGGAGAAUGGAAUUCCUGGUGUAGCGGUGGAAUGCGCAGAUAUCAGGAGGAACACCGAUGGCGAAGGCAGUUCUCUGGGCCGUAACUGACGCUGAGGAGCGAAAGCGUGGGGAGCGAACAGGAUUAGAUACCCUAGUAGUCC